GACUAACCCCAACCCCAAACCCUAAUUCAUUUACCCUGCUCACCUAGCAGCCCCUUUUCUCUUUCCUCUCUCUAUUCUCUCAAAUCGUAGACCCAUUAAUCCCAGAAACCUUGUGCCUUCUGACUCCUCGAAUCUCAUCGGUAUCUCCCUAUUACAUCAUAUGAAUUUGAAAUCUCAUGUUACUUACACUCAAAGAUGAAACUUCAUGUCUUCAAGAUCUUCUGGUGCUACAACAAAAUCAGAGCAUGCAUGGCAUCUCAUUAUGUUUAUUCGAAACCAGAGGUACCUCUGGAUUUCCGGUCUUUGUGCGAUGGUAUUUCUUGCCUGCAACGACUCUCUUCAACUCAGUCUAGGCUUGAGGUUUGGUUUCUUAGCGGCUAAAUAAAAGGUUUCGCUUGGUUUUAUGCUCUGCGAAAGAAUAUGUAACUGAUCUGGGCCUACUGAGUUUUCAAGAACUCAGGCCCAAGUUCAAGCUUUUAGUUUGAAGUCAUGGGAGCCACUGCUGCUUGUCUGCUGUUCGCUGGGCCUAACCUUCUUCAGAACCAGAUUACUGAGUCCAAUUCCCUUUCCUUCCUCAAUAGAUGAAUUGAAUCUAUUAUCUUUUCUUUACAUGAGUAUAAUACUAACGAUAUUGAUUGAAUAUUUUAUUUUUUCUCAAAGGUUUUAGGAGCCUAGGAAAUCCAAGAUCCAUAGGUAAUAAAAUAAAUCACUAUUACAUUACGAUCAGUUAUAAAGUUUCGGCGCUUUGAUCA